AUUAAAGAGUUGGGAAUGUAAAAUUGAGCUUAAGGAAUAAAGCUAAGAGCUAAAUUACUGUAAGCUAAGAGCGAUGUGAAAUAUAAGCUAAGGAACUUAAUUGCAAUAAAUAAAUGCUGAAACAGUAAUUGAAAAACUUCAGAAAUUUGAUUGCAUAAAAUAGUCAAACUUACAUGAUGUAAUUGAAUACUGAGAAACACUUGAGAGCAUUGAACAUACUAUAAAUUAAAGUUGAAGAUUGGUUGACUAAACUAAGUAGUGAUUCUCGAAUCUAAAGAUUGUUGUUUAAUUUAAUAAUAGCUUUCUAAUAUAAGGAUAAAUGAUAAAGAUAAAGUUUAUCAAUUCUGUAUAUGUUUUGAUUUGAUUGACUUUUUGGAUGGGAUUAGCUCAUUAGGGGGUCCUUGCCUAUUUAUAGACUUCCAUGGCUUGAGAGAUACUUUGGCAUAUUCUUCAUUCUUGGCUUGAUCCUCAAUUAAUUCCCCACUUUGAGAGCACGUACUGUUACUUUUUACAUUUUGCACAUGUUAUUAAAGAUGUAACUUUCUUACUCCUAUUUUCUUACUCUUCUCAACUUUCUAGCCUCAUUUUUCUCCACUUCCUACUUUUGCUCAACUGAUUGGCUCAUAUAUUAUUAGCAUGCUUUCUCUUUUUUGGAUAUGCUUCACUUCUACACCACUUCCUCUUUGGUUGAUACUUGUAUUCCUUCCUUCCCACUUCUCAAGAUUGUGCUACAAGCUUCUAGAAAAUUCUGUAACUGCUCUCCACCUUCCUCUUUCCUCAUUUUUCACAUUUCAAUAAUCUUUAAAGAUUACUAAACCAACUCUUGGCCAAUGGGCCCAAGAUUUAUACAUGGGUCAAGAAUCCAAAUAUGGGCCAAAAUUCAUAAGCUUCAGGAUUUGGAUCAAGAUCAAAUGAGCUUUCUUUAUAGGUUUGACCAAAUUUAAUGGGUUUAGAUCAAUGCUAAAUUUGGAUAUAGACAAUCGCUCCUGCAUAUAAUAAGGUGAAAGAUGUAUCUAUAUGGAUAGAUCUCCUAAGGAUUACUUUUAGCCUCUAUUAAGAAUAAAUGCAAUUAUGAUCUAUGAACAUGUAAUUAGUGAGUUGGGAAUGCAAAAUGGAGCUUAAGGAAUAAAACUAAGAGCUACAUUACUAUAAUUUAAGAGCGAUGAUGUGAAAUAUAAGCUAAGAAACUUAAUUGCAAUAAAUAAAUAUUGAAAUAAUAAUUGAAAACUUCAAGAAUUUGAUUGCAUAAAGUAAUCGACUUACAUAAUAUAAUUGGAUAUUGAGAAACACUUGAAAACUUUGAACGUACUGUAAACAAAAACCGAGGAUUGCUUGACUAAACUAAAAAGUGCUUUUCUAAUCUAAGGAUUGUUUUUCUAAUCUAAUGAUAGUUUUCUAAUCUAAGAAUAUAUGAUAAAGAUAAAGUCUAUAAACUCUGUGUUUAUUUUGAUUUGAUUGAUUUGCUGG
rnacentral:lncRNA from 1 species